UACAGGAGGGUGCGAGCGUUUAAUCGGAAUUACUGGGCGUAAAGCGUGCGUAGACGGUAGCGUAAGUCAGAUGUGAAAGCCCCCGGGCUCAACCUGGGAACUGCAUUUGAGACUGCUCUGCUCGGGUGCGGAAGAGGGAAGCGGAAUUUCCGGUGUAGCGGUGAAAUGCGUAGAUAUCGGAAGGAACACCAGUGGCGAAAGCGGCUUCCUGGUCCGACACCGACGUUCAGGCACGAAAGCGUGGGGAGCAAACAGG
rnacentral:rRNA from 1 species